ACGCUGGUCGCAUUGCAGAUUCAGUAGCGAUGUUGUCGACAAGUAAUUCGCUUCCGGUAUUAUUCUAAAUAUUGUCCAGGCCUGAAACAAUUGUCGGUUGUGCUCCUUGUCACCAAAUGAAGAAACCGAGGCACAAUCCACAGACACUGUGUGCAAUAAUACACUAUAUUAUCCACAAGGGAAAUGUUGUUUAUCUGUUCUUGACACCGUUGAUGCAGAGUCGUCCAGGUUACGAGUUAUCACGCGCCUGCCACUUAAAAGCCAAACGACAGCGAGGACAGACCAUGGGAUUGUGGUAUGCCAGCGGAGGGCAAGGUGUGAACAGAGAGGGCAGGGGAACAUGAAUAGGUCUGCUCUGCUGGGACUGGCACUCUCCGGCUCUGCGGUGGAAUAAAAGCGACAGUGAGGAUUAGAGGAGAGUUCUUCAGCUUGCGGGAUAAGCUGAUCUUCCACACUUCAGGAAAUGACACUACUUUAAUCAGGAGGUUUGUUUUUGGACUGUGAGUUCCCUCAGAAAUCCAUAACCAGCAUUGUGGAAAAACAUUUGAAAUUCGAGAGAUGAAUGAACCUUCCAGGUUGGCCUACAAAUUGACGUCACGACUGAGCAGAUCUGUGAAGCUGAGCGUAAAACUGGCGCUUGUUUCUCAACACUGCGGAUGCUCACCUGAUCCAAAACCUUCAGAUUGCCAGUCUGGGGAUUGACACAUCAGAUGAAGAUAUGAAGUGGUGGGUGUGCGUGGAGGCGGGCCAGGCGCCCAGCGAGUCCCCGCGCUUCUCACUUGGUUAACACCUCACAUAGAGCACAGAGCCAGGAAUACACUGCAUCUCUCUCUCUGUGACUAAAACAGUUCAUUUGGACCUGCAGAGUCUUCUGCUCCUCAGAGUCUCCACUGAUGGAGGUGGGAGAUAUUCUUAACUAACGUCGGAAAACAAGAAUGAUUAUCAAGCAGUGUUUCAUCACCAAUUGUCUGUGUUUGUUUUUGUAAUGCGUCUUUCUUAGUCCAUUUUUUUAUUGGGUGUUUCUUAAACUUACAUGCACUUCUAUCUUGCAAGGGUUGAUUGUAAUUAAUUUAACAGAUUUUAGUUAUGUACUUUUUGCUAUAUGACCGACACAUUACAUUGUGGAAAUGUUUUUUUUUAUGCCGUCGUCAUUUUUUUAUUUUUUUU